rnacentral:rRNA from 1 species
GGGGAAUAUUGCGCAAUGGGCGAAAGCCUGACGCAGCGACGCCGCGUGAGGGAUGAAGGCCUUCGGGUCGUAAACCUCUGUCAGGAGGGAAGAACCGCCAUGGUGCUAAUCAGCCAUGGUCUGACGGUACCUCCAAAGGAAGCACCGGCUAACUCCGUGCCAGCAGCCGCGGUAAUACGGAGGGUGCAAGCGUUAAUCGGAAUCACUGGGCGUAAAGCGCACGUAGGCUGUUUGGUAAGUCAGGGGUGAAAUCCCGCGGCUCAACCGUGGAACUGCCUUUGAUACUGCUUAGCUUGAAUCCGGGAGAGGGUGGCGGAAUUCCAGGUGUAGGAGUGAAAUCCGUAGAUAUCUGGAGGAACAUCAGUGGCGAAGGCGGCCACCUGGACCGGUAUUGACGCUGAGGUGCGAAAGCGUGGGGAGCAAACA